CUUCUUCCUCUCAACUCUAAUGAAACACCAAAAGAAUUCGCAAACGUAUCACUGAAGCCUUCUCUAAAUUGGAGAGAUCAUAUGAAAAUCUUCAUCAGUGAUGGUGUAAUUAUGGCUUAACAAGGAGAGAUGUGAAAUUGGAUGGGGUGCGCUCCUUCGUUAAUGUUGUGCAGGUGCUGUUACAAGACCAUUACCACUCUGGAAUCAUCAACUACAGCUCUCGGUUCAUCAUUAUUCGAGGAAAUGCAGUGAAUAGUAUUUCAAUGGAAUCAUCGUCCAACCAUAAUUAGCUACCUGCAACUAAUAUACAAAAGUGACUACAUAAUCUAUCAUGGAGCUGAAAAAUGGUUGCAUAACCUAUUAUAGUAAGGUGGAGUGUCAUCUCAACCGAGAAACAACACAGCAAUAACUGACUUUUGGUGGGUCUAUAAUGUGUCUGCUGGUGUAAGAGAGAUUAUGAAGAGUUGUCAUGCUCCUCAAUAAUAUAUGUAUAACCUGUCAUGCAGUCGAGAAAA